rnacentral:rRNA from 1 species
CUAGUAACUGCGAGUGAAGAGGGAAAAGCUCAAAUUUAAAAUCUGGCAGUCUUUGAUUGUCCGAGUUGUAAUUUAGAGAAGUGUUACCCGUGUUGGACUGUGUAUAAGUUUCCUGGAAUGGAGCGUCAUAGAGGGUGAGAAUCCCGUCUUUGACACAGAUCCCAAUGCAUUGUGGUACGCUCUCAAAGAGUCGAGUUGUUUGGGAAUGCAGCUCUAAAUGGGUGGUAAAUUCCAUCUAAAGCUAAAUAUUGGGGAGAGACCGAUAGCGAACAAGUACCGUGAGGGAAAGAUGAAAAGAACUUUGGAAAGAGAGUUAAACAGUACGUGAAAUUGCUGAAAGGGAAACGCUUGAAGUCAGUCGCGUUGGUCAGGGAUCAGCCUUCCUUUU